rnacentral:pre_miRNA from 1 species
CAGCAUUAGCGGGUGAAACUGCCGCAUGAUCUGGCAAGAUCCAGAUGAGCCUGCCUGGUCAUGAGUAUCAUGAAUAGCUAACCAGAUCAUGCUGGCAGCUUCAACCACUCGUACC